rnacentral:lncRNA from 10 species
ACUUCAGCAAGAGCAUGUGAAGGAAAGGUGUCUAUCAGCCAACAGCUGCUAAUUUUCAGAGAAAUGAAUGGAUGUGUGGCUGCUUCCAUUUAAUCAGUCACCAUCUAUCUCAGCAGUAUUAAUGCUUCCAUUUGACCAGCCACCUCUAUCUACACAUACUUCUUUUUUAUCUAAGAGUCUACUGGACUUUUUCAAAUUCAUCUGAACAUGUGAUAUUUUCACAGGGCUCAACAUUGAACAAAAUCCUCUUUAAUCCUAACCUUUCACCACUUUAUUUUAUUUCUCAACAUUUCCCUUUCAUAGAAACACAUUGGAAGCUAAUCCCCAAGACUUUGAGAGAAGUCACCCAAGAAAGUCUGACUUUGCUGGAAGAUCUUUAAGCUGCUUCAAGCCUUGGAUGUCAUCUGAUCACUGCUCUUGAUUUCUUUAUCCUUGGACUGCAGUUAGAGACUUGGCUGCUAUAAAGUGAAUUACUCUUGAAUAAGGGCAUAGUUUCCACUGUGAUAACCUUGUUUCUAUCCAUGACAGCUAGGGAAACUGCAGCCUGAGAGUGCUUUGCUUGGUAGCAGGUGUAAUGUAGUUUUGACUAAAAUUCUGUUGAAGAAAACUCUCUCAGCUUGCCCCCAAACAAUUUAUGUCAGCAGAAGAAAUAAAUAAAGAAAUAAUAAUAGAGUAUAUUGUUUGAAUUUGUUGCAGUGGGGUAUAUUGUU